rnacentral:misc_RNA from 1 species
AACGCACAUUGCGCCCCUCGGUAUUCCGUGGGGCAUGCCUGUUCGAGCGUCAUUUACACCCCUCAAGCUCUGCUUGGUGUUGGGCGUCUGUCCGCCACCACGAGGCCACGUACAGAACGCCGAGGAUGGCUAGGUACUCGGCAUUCCCCCUCGGACCAAGGAUGGUCGCCCGUUCGCGGACGGGCGUGGAUCUAGGCUGAGGAUGGCUGGGUACUUUGCAUUCCCCUCGGAUUCGUACGUUUGUUCGUCUCCUUAGACCCAGGACUGUCGCCCGUCCGUUCGCGGAUGGACGUAUCUCCAGGCAGAGGAUUCGUACGGCGGCCGCGGGAGGCUACGGACUCGCCCCAAAGGCAUUGGCAGCGGCAUCCGCCGGGCUUUCCUUAUCAGCGCAGCACUGUUCGCGCAACCGGGGAGCCGCGUGGAGGCCGCGUUCCAUGAAGCCUCAUCUUCGCAAGUUGACCUCGGAUCAGGUAGGGAUACCCGCUGAACUUAA